CAUGUCUUUUUGAAAAUAAUUUAAAGUCUGACCUGCCCAAUGAAAUUUAAAUGGCCGCAGUAUUUUGACUGUGCAAAGGUAGCAUAAUCAUUAGUUUUUUAAAUGAAAGCUGGAAUGAAAGGUUUGAUGAGAAAAUAGCUGUCUCAAUUAAAAUAUUAAAAUUUUAUUUUUAAGUUAAAAAGCUUAAAUUUUUUAAUAAGACGAGAAGACCCUAUAGAGUUUAAUAUUUUAAUAAUUUUAAUUAUUUUUAGAUUUUAUUUAAGUUUUUUGUUAAAAUAUUUUAUUGGGGUGAUAAAAAAAUUAAAUAAACUUUUUUAUUUUGUUACAUUAAUUUAUGAGUAGUUGAUCCUUUAUUGAAGAUUAAAAGAAAAAAUUACCUUAGGGAUAACAGCGUAAUUUUUUUUAAGAGUUCUUAUCGAAAAAAAAGUUUGCGACCUCGAUGUUGGAUUAAAAUUUAAUUUUGGUGUAGAAGCUAAAUAUUUAGGUCUGUUCGACCUUUAAAAUU
rnacentral:rRNA from 1 species